CCCGAUCCCCCCCGAUCCCGAUCCUGAUCCCCGUCCCCUUCCCCCGUCCCGGCCGCACCAUGGACUGUUACACGGCCAACUGGUACCCGCUGGGCGAGGAGGCCUUUUACCGGAAGCUGGAGCUGUACUCCAUGGAAUGGGGGCUGCGGGAGGACCUGCGGGACUGUGUGGUGGCCGCUGCCCCGUACGGGGGGCCCAUAGCCCUGCUGAGGAAUUCCCGCAGGGACAAGGCCCCCAGCUCC